rnacentral:rRNA from 1 species
UUCUUCCUGAAAUUGG